AUGGGAGGCUGCCAGCUUCCAUGCAUCACGACGAUGGGAGCUUGCUCCCAGGCGUCGAGCGGCGGACGGGUGAGUAACGCGUAGGAAUCUACCCAGUAGGGGGGAUAGCCCGGGGAAACUCGGAUUAAUACCGCAUACGCCCUACGGGGGAAAGGCCGGGAUCUUCGGACCGGUCGCUAUUGGAUGAGCCUGCGUAAAUUAGCUAGUUGGGGGGUAAAGGCCUACCAGGUGACAUUUUAUGGUCUGAGAGGAUGAUCACCACACUGGAACUGAACACGGUCCAACUCCUACGGGAGGCAGCAGGGGAAUAUUGGACAAGGGCGCAAGCCUGACCAGCCAUGCCGCGGGUAAAAGGCUCUAGGGUUGUAAAGCAUUUCAGUAGGGGGAAGGCCAGAGGCUUAAUAAGUCUUUGGAUUGACGUUACCUACAGAAGCAGCACCGGCUAACUCCGUGCCAGCAGCCGCGGUAAUACGGAGGGUGCAAGCGUUAAUCGGAAUUACGGGCGUAAAGCGCGCGUAGGCGGUUUGUUAAGUGUGAUGUGAAAGCCCAGGGCUCAACCUUGGAACUGCAUCACAUACUGGCAGGCUAGAGUACGGUAGAGGGGGGUAGAAUUCCACGUGUAGCGGUGAAAUGCGUAGAGAUGUGGAGGAAUACCAGUGGCGAAGGCGGCCCCCUGGAUCGAUACUGACGCUGAGGUGCGAAAGCGUGGGGAGCAAACAGGAUUAGAUACUGGUAGUCCACGCCGUAAACGAUGUCAACUAGCCGUUGGGAGGGUAAUCCUUUUAGUGGCGCACUAACGCUCUAAGUUGACCGCUGGGGAGUACGGUCGCAAGAUUAAAACUCAAAUGAAUUGACGGGGGGCCCGCACAAGCGGUGGAGCUGUGGUUUAAUUCGACGCAACGCGAAACUUACUGGUCUUGACAUCCUGCGAACUUUCUAGAGAUAGAUUGGGCCUUCGGACGCAGUGACAGGUGCUGCAUGGCUGUCUCAGCUCGUGUCGUGAGCUGUGGUAGCCCCGUAACGAGCCACUGUCUAUUUCAUCAUUGGCACUGGAGACCUGCCCAUGCAACGAACCAGAUCACGCUCCAUCUGUUC
rnacentral:rRNA from 1 species